UACGUAGGUGACAAGCGUUGUCCGGAAUUACUGGGCGUAAAGCGUGCGCAGGCGGUUGUGCAAGACCGAUGUGAAAUCCCCGGGCUUAACCUGGGAAUGGCAUUGGUGACUGCACGGCUAGAGUGUGUCAGAGGGGGGUAGAAUUCCACGUGCAGCAGUGAAAUGCGUAGAUAUGUGGAGGAAUACCGAUGGCGAAGGCAGCCCCCUGGGAUAACACUGACGCUCAUGCACGAAAGCGUGGGGAGCAAACAGG
rnacentral:rRNA from 1 species